AAAAGCUCAAAUUUAAAAUCUGGCAGUCUCUGGCUGUCCGAGUUGUAAUUUAGAGAAGUGUUGCCCGCGCUGGACCGUAUACAAGUCCUCUGGAAUGGGGCGUCAUAGAGGGUGAGAAUCCCGUCUUUGAUACGGACUACCAGUGCUUUGUGGUGCGCUCUCGAAGAGUCGAGUUGUUUGGGAAUGCAGCUCAAAAUGGGUGGUAAAUUCCAUCUAAAGCUAAAUACAGGCGAGAGACCGAUAGCGAACAAGUACCGUGAGGGAAAGAUGAAAAGCACUUUGGAAAGAGAGUUAAACAGUACGUGAAAUUGCUGAAAGGGAAACGCUUGAAGUCAGUCGCGUCGUUCAAGAAUCAGCCUUGCUUUUUUGCUUGGUGUACUUCUUGUUCGAUGGGUCAGCAUCAGUUUUGAUCAUUGGAUAAGGGCUAGAGAAAUGUGGCAUCUUCGGAUGUGUUAUAGUCUUUGGUCAUAUACAGUGGUUGGGACUGAGGAACUCAGCAUGCCGCAAGGACGAGUCUUUGACUACGUUACAUGCUUAGGAUGCUGGCAUAAUGGCUUUAAUCGACCCGUCUUGAAACACGGACCAAGGAGUCUAACAUGCCUGCGAGUGUUUGGGUGGAAAACCCGAGCGCGCAAUGAAAGUGAAAGUUGAAAUCUCUGUCAUGAAGAGCAUCGACGCCCAUACCUGAUGUUUACUGACGGAUAUGCGGUAGAGCAUGUAUGUUGGGACCCGAAAGAUGGUGAACUAUGCCUGAAUAGGGUGAAGCCAG
rnacentral:rRNA from 1 species